rnacentral:rRNA from 1 species
UACGUAGGGUGCAAGCGUUGUCCGGAAUUAUUGGGCGUAAAGGGCUCGUAGGCGGUCCAUCGCGUCGGGUGUGAAAAGCUGGGGCUUAACCCCAGUCCUGCUUUCGAUACGGGUGGACUAGAGGUAGGCAGGGGAGAACGGAAUUCCAGGUGUAGCGGUGAAAUGCGCAGAUAUCAGGAGGAACACCAAUGGCGAAGGCAGCUCGCUGGGACGGUACUGACGCUGAGACGCGAAAGCGUGGGGAGCAAACAGG